rnacentral:rRNA from 1 species
GGGAAUACUGCAAAGCUAGGGAGUGGGAGAGGUAGACGGUACUCGGUAGGAAGGGGUAAAAUCCUUUGAUCUAUUGAUGACCACCUGUGGCGAAGGCGGUCUACCAGAACCCACGUCCGACGGUGAGGGAUGAAAGCUGGGGGAGCAAACCGGAUUAGAUACCCGGGUAGUCCCAGCCGUAAACCAUGCAAACUCAGUGAUGCAUUGGCUUGUGGCCAAUGCAGUGCUGCAGGGAAGCCGUUAAGUUUGCCGCCUGGGAAGUACGUACGCAAGUAUGAAACUUAAAGGAAUUGGCGGGGGAGCACCACAAGGGGUGAAGCCUGCGGUUCAAUUGGAGUCAACGCCAGAAAUCUUACCCGGAGAGACAGCAGAAUGAAGGUCAAGCUGGAGACUUUACCAGACAAGCUGAGAGGUGGUGCAUGGCCGUCGCCAGCUCGUGCCGUGAGAUGUCCUGUUAAGUCAGGUAACGAGUGAGAUCCCUGCCUCUAGUUGCCACCAUUACUCUCAGGAGUAGUGGGGCGAAUUAGCGGGACCGCCGCAGUUAAUGUGGAGGAAGGAAGGGGCCACGGCAGGUCAGUAUGCCCCGAAACUCUGGGGCCACACGCGGGCUGCAAUGGUAGUGACAAUGGGUCCCGAAUCCGAAAGGAGGAGGUAAUCCUCAAACACUACCACAGUUAUGACUGAGGGCUGCAACUCGCCCUCACGAAUAUGGAAUCCCUAGUAACUGCGUGUCAUUAUCGCGCGGUGAAUACGUCCCUGCUCCUUGCACUCACCGCCCGU